UUGUAGCCUAGGGUAGCCUCGAACUCACUUGCGUAGGUCAGUCUGGCCUUGAAUUUGUGCCAGUCUUCCUGCUUCAGCUUCUCAAGUCCUAGGAUUAGAAACAUGUGCCACCACACCUGGCUAGAAAUAUAUUUCUAAAUACACAUAUAUGAACCAAGAAACCACAAAUGAAAUUAUAUAUUAUUUGGACCUGAAUUAUAGUGAAAAUGCUAUGUAUAAAAACUUUUGGUGUGCUACUGAAGUGCUUGGAGGGAAAUUUGUAGCAAUGCAUGUCCUUUAUAAAAGAAAAAGAUUGAGAAAGUGAAUGAUGUUCAUAACAUCUUAAAAAUUAAGAUAGAAGGACUGGGGACUUAGCUCAGUGGCAUAAGCACCUGCCUGCCAAGCGUGAGGUCAUGAGUUCGAUCCUCAGUACCAAAAACAAAAACAAAAAAUUAAGAAAGAGUGAGCAGAAUAAAUUUUUAAAAAGUAGAAGAAAGGAGGAUAUAAAGAGAAGAAAUAAAUGUUUUAGGAGAUGAAUGUGCAAUAGAAAAAAUAACAAAGUUAUUUCUUUGAAAAGUGUAAUACAAUUGAUUCAACUUUAGUUAGACAGAUCAAGAGGGAAAACAGAAAAUAUACCAGCAGCAGGAGUAAAAGCCAGACCAAUAUACAUCCAGUGGGCACUAAUAAAAAGACAUAAACAACUCUUUGCUAAUAAAUAUAAAAAUUUAAGCACAAUGGAUAACUUUCUUUGAAAACACAACAUCCCAAAAUGGACACAAGAAGAAAUAGAAAAUUGGAAGGGUCAUAUAUAAUUUAAAGAAAUUGAUCCUUAAUUGAAAAACUUCCCACAAAGAAAACACAAGUUUCAAAUGGCCUCUUAAGAAUGCUUCCAAAUACUUAAGGAAGAAAUAAAUCCACACAUACUCUUGCAAAGAGUCACACAAGGGGAAAUAGUUCUUUUCUUAUUUGAUAAGGGCAGUACAACUUUAAUACCAAAACUGACAAAGACAUUUAAUGAAAAAGAAGAAGAAAACUAUAGGCUAAUCUUUCUAAUGAACAUAGAUAUAAAAAUCCUAAACAAAAUGUUAGUAAAUAAAAUCAUUAUGUAUAAAAAGUAUAUUAUGACCAUGUUGAAUUUAUCCCAAUGAUGUAGGUUUUAAUUAAUAUCAUUCUUUAAGGUGACAUUGAUCACUUAUGCCAAGAUUGGGGAUGAGAAUUAUACACACUAUCAUCCUUGUUUCUAUCCAGCACAAUUAGACAAGGGGAAGAAAUAAAAGAACAACCAGAGAGGAGAAAAUAAAAAUGUUGUUCAUAGGCAAUGUGAUUCUGUGUGUGGAAAACCCAAAAGGAUCUUCCUAUAAACAACUGAAUUAGUAAGUGAAUUUAGUAAGGUCACUGGAUACAAGAUGAGUAUGCAAGAAUAAUUGUAUUUUUGUGCACCAAGAACAAUCAGAAAAUGAACUUAGAAAUCGAUACUAUUUACCACACCACCAAAAAUACACACCUAAAUAUCUAGAAAUAUAUCCACUAACAGAUGCAGAAGACUCUUAGUAAGCUACUAAUUAUUACUAAGAGAAAGCAGGGAUCUGCUCUCUCUUCAGUGUGAAGUUGGAAAAGGAGGAUAGGACUGGAAUGGUUAUGAUAUAUCUAAAUACAGUGUGCAAUACACCAAUACGUGACAUUUAUAUUAAUAUGACCAUGUAAAUAUAAAAAAUGAGUAUAUAUGAUGGCAUCUAGUUAAAAAAAUUUCCCCAAGGAGUUAGCAAUUGCUUAGCUUUCUGCAUAUCUUUUACCACACAGGUCUUUAAACUCCUCAGCAGUACCUUAAAUUCUCUCCCUACCAUCACUGCAUCAGGAAGCCUCUAGAACUUAGAAUUGCUGGUGCCUCCCGGACCUGUCUGCCCUGCUCUCUCUGGCUGUGCUCUUCUGAUUUGCUGUACAGCUGCCCUUCAGUCAUCCGACAUCCCCCUGACAUCCUCUUCCUGGGAUUUCCCUGUGUCCCUACUGUGUGUGGGAACUUGAAGGUUCCACCUGUCUUGGUCUACACCCCUCCUGGCUGAGGCAUGAUGCUAUCAGAUAAAUAGCUAAUAAUUGCUCAUGGGAAGUAGAUGGUCUUUGAGAUUUUGAAUGUUCAUAAAUGUACUUAUUCUGCUCUAAGCUUGGUUGAGGUUUAGGUUGAGGCUAGCAUGCCAGGCUGGAAAUCAUGUUCCCACAAUGAGUUUUGAAGUGUGGCCUGUGGCCUGAGUGUUUCUUUCCUUGCAGGUGCUGCUGUGAAGUACCAACUGUUCUGACCUCUGAGCCUUUGGGUGACUUGUUUUAUUUCUUCUUUGCAGGACACCAGUGUCUCCAGUGCUCUGAAAUUCAUAAUCCUGAGCCUUACACACAUUUAUUUUCAUUCAUUGCUCUCUGUGUAUCAUCUAAUCAUGGAAAUUAAUUUAGUGGUGUUUUAGUUAUCUAAUCCUCAGCUGUUCCUGGCACAAACUAGCACCAUGGUUGUGGUAGACCAUCAUUCUCUUCCUGGAACUCUUAAUAAGCAGGGUAUUUUCUUCAAGUCUAGAAAUCUUUGGCUGUCCUUUCAUUUUUAAGAGUAAGGUACUAAAAUGCUAUAUUAGUUAUAUAUGGCUGUGUAACAAGUAACUCCAAUCUUAGCAGCUUCAAAUAAUGAACUUGAUUACAAUUUUUAUGAGUCAGGAAUUUUAAAAUGGGUUAAGUGGGAGAUUAGAGAAGAUGGUGGCUUGCUAGGUCACUGGGUGGAGAGCCUCUCUGGAAAAACAGCUCAGACACUGGAAUUUGACAACACAGAGAGGGCUGGAUGAGUGGAGAGGGACUCUCAUGAACCCAGGAGGAAAUUGAAGUGAAAAGAAAAAUAGGAAGAGGAAGGAAAAAUGUGAGUGGAGGGCUGGAGCCCAACGCACUCACUGAGAUGGGUCAGCGCUGUGCUGGGAGUGCUGUGGAGUCGGGAGAUUAAAGGUCAUGCUGAAGCCAGGGCCUCCAAUAACGGGAAUUGGUGAGUCCGGGGCCCUUGGUGGGAGGACGCGGUGCAGUAUGGAGUGGAGCCAAGGUGGAGAACUACAUUGAUUCCUGGUGAGUGCUGGAGAUUGAGUCCCAUGGUGGGUGUCACCAGCUGGAGGACAUCUUGGAGUGGGGCAGAGCCCGGCACCGUGGUGGCAUCAGUCAGCCACCCUUGGCCCAAAGAGAACUGGUAGGAUCUGCUUGGGCUGAGCCACGGCCCUGAUUGGGACCCAGUAGCCAGGGACAAAACUGUCCCGACCCUCUGACAUCUGCAAAGCACAGGCUAAGUUGUAGAAGGCACUUGUGGAUUGACUGGCUCAGAGGCUAGAGGCUAGCCUGCAUCAUCCCUGCAUGCAACUCAGAUAACAGCAAAUUGGAGAGAGCAGUAAAAUCCCAGUCAGCAUGCUUCAGAAAAACCGUAAGCAAUACGGAGAGGGUCAGGGACUUCCACAACACACCUGUUUGAAAGAAUCCAGAAAUAUGACAAGAGACAGAAAAAAAACAAAACAAAACAAAAAAAACCCUCCAGCUGCUGACCCUGGAAAAUAAGCCUAGGAGAGGUAAAUACAGAAGAGAACCAGUGCAGCAAUCAUGCAACAUUAGCCACAACAUCAGCAGACAUAAAGAAAUACCUUCGUGACCUCAUAGAUGAACUUAAAACUGAAAUUCUAAUCUGAGUGAGGCAAGAUUAAUUAAAGAAAUGAUAAACCCUAUAAACUUCUCCCAAGAAAACACAGAUGGAAGAAUGGAGGAACCCAGAAAAGGAAGAGAAACCUUUGAUGAUGAAUAUAAACAAAACCUAGAAUACAUGAAACAGAUCCAAAGAGAUUACCAGGAAACUGAAAACUCCAUUGAAAGCUGGCAAAAUGCCUUGACAGAAACUAAAGUUAGCCUUUUGAAACUUGAAGAGAGAUUUAUAAUGUGUGAUUGUGAAAGAAAAGAUCUCUUAAAAAUAACAAGGAACCAGGAAGAAACAAUUCAAAGGCUAGAAGAUGACAAGAGGAUUUAUAAUUUAAGAAUAAAAAACAUGAGUGAAGAAGCAGGAAUAACCACAAAUGAAUUACAAAGACUAUUCACAGAAAUAAUUAAGGAAAACUUCCCAAGCAUAGGAAAAAGAAAUGGUAUACAGAUGUAUGAGGCAUACAGAAUACCAACCACCUUCAACCAAAACAGAUCUACACCCAGACAUAUAAUAAUCAAGAUCCCAGAAAUCCACCACAAGAACAGAAUAUUAAAAGCAGCCAGAGAAAAGAAGCAGAUCACCUACAAAGGAAAAAUCAUCAAAAUAACGACAGACUUACCAACACACUCUCAAAUCGAGAAGAGCUUGGGGGGAAAUAGUCCAAACCCUGAAAGAAAAUAACCUCCAACCCAGAUUGAUAUACCCAGAAAAACUCUCUCUCAAAAUUAAUGGAGAAAUAUGAUAUUUCCAAGACAAGGAGGAACUGUGGGAGUUCAUGGCCACCAACACAACCCUACAAAAAAAUACUGAAGGACAUUCCAGAGAGAGAGAAAAAAAUACCAGGAAUCCAGCAACAGUGGCAGAGAGGCCUCAAUGAAUGGGGCAGACAGUGGAAUGAAGGAGUAAAGUGGACAAAUAAUAGCAGAAAAAUAGAAUAGCAGAGAUGAGGCAGAGAAGGUAGGCUAUAAUCUUUAAUAUAGAUAGCCUUGAUACACUAACAAAGAGAAACACAGGCAGAGUAGAUUAGGAGGCAGGAUGCAUCAAGAUGCUCUGAAUAGGAAAUAUACUCAAACUGAAAGAGGGUGAUAAACUGAAAGUCAAAGAUGAGAAAGCAAUGCUAUAUGUGACAGGAAACCAGAGAGAAAUAGCGACAACUUGUCCUGCAGCCACAAAUAGAUUGGAAAGUUAUGACACUUUUGGGCAGUGUAGAACUACACAGCUGGAAGGAAGGAAAACCUUGUGGCUUUGGUAAGUUUAAAGGAGUACAGCUCAAGAUCAAGCUCAGGGGUAAAAAGGUUCAGCAACACUCAGAUAGAUAGUGGGAAAUCUAAAAAUCAAAGGAGCUAGUGGGACCCAAGAUAUACAAAGCAUCCUGAGAAGGGGAAAGGUGAGAAACUGCCUAAAAAAGGAAGGCAGAAGACAUUGUUAAAAGUGUAUGAGGAUUUAAAAGUCACAGUAGUCUUAUUGCUCUGUUUAGUUUGAUUUUAUUUUGUUCUGGUUUGUGUGCUCAUAUUAGAUUUGAGGGCACAAACAGCUAUCCCAAAAAUAGCAGAUUAUACAAUGGUAACUAUCCUUAAUUUCCUAUUAACUUAAACUGAAACCCUGUAUUACUUGCAUUGCCUUACUAUGACUGAUCUUAUUUGGAGCUGGUUUGUUAGACUGCUGUUUUGCCUUGACUGUUUUUAUUCUAAUUUGGUAUGCUUGAUAGUAUCAAGUCUAGGAGUAGAGGCAACUACUCUGAAGAUGACAAGAUGUAAAAGAUACCCAUUCCAGUUAUGUAGUCAAUGUUUGUGAAGAUGGGGACAACUAUUUGGAAGAAAACUAGAGACGAUAAGAUGGACAAUGAAGAUCUCCAGUGGACUUGCUUUGAAAUCUGUGUUUCUUUAAAUUUUUUCCUUAUGCUCUGUUUUGUUAUAUUUAAUCUUACCCUCUUUAAAAUAAAAAAUAAAAAGAUUUAAAAAAUGGG